rnacentral:rRNA from 1 species
UACGAAGGGGGCUAGCGUUGUUCGGAAUCACUGGGCGUAAAGGGCGCGUAGGCGGCUGAUCAAGUCGGGGGUGAAAGCCUGUGGCUCAACCACAGAAUUGCCUUCGAUACUGUUUGGCUUGAGACCGGAAGAGGUAAGUGGAACUGCGAGUGUAGAGGUGAAAUUCGUAGAUAUUCGCAAGAACACCGGUGGCGAAGGCGGCUUUCUGGACGACAACUGACGCUGAGACGCGAAAGCGUGGGGAGCAAACAGG